rnacentral:rRNA from 1 species
AAUUCGCCCUUAGAGUUUGAUCAUGGCUCAGAACGAACGCUGGCGGCAGGCUUAACACAUGCAAGUCGAGCGCCCCGCAAGGGGAGCGGCAGACGGGUGAGUAACGCGUGGGAAUCUACCCAUCUCUACGGAACAACUCCGGGAAACUGGAGCUAAUACCGUAUACGUCCUUAUGGAGAAAGAUUUAUCGGAGAUGGAUGAGCCCGCGUUGGAUUAGCUAGUUGGUGGGGUAAUGGCCUACCAAGGCGACGAUCCAUAGCUGGUCUGAGAGGAUGAUCAGCCACACUGGGACUGAGACACGGCCCAGACUCCUACGGGAGGCAGCAGUGGGGAAUAUUGGACAAUGGGCGCAAGCCUGAUCCAGCCAUGCCGCGUGAGUGAUGAAGGCUCUAGGGUUGUAAAGCUCUUUCAACGGUGAAGAUAAUGACGGUA